UUUGUCAGAAGUGGUUGGAUUGGGAGUGUGUGAUUGAUUCAUGGUGCAACGCUGGCCUUAAGUGUAUGGUUACUAAAUCAGUCCACUGAAAGGGUGAUUUGGCAACACCUUAAUCCUGGAAGCCUAGGUAGAGUAUAGAAGGGGCUAAAAGAUGCUGUUAAGAUUUCUCUUAUUGCUUUCACUACCUUGUGGGUGCUAUGAACUGUUCUCUUCUGCAGUGUUCACUCCUCUGCCAUGUGCCACUCUGCCGUGAAGCCAGCCAACUAUGGACUGAAACCUCUACAAACUUUGAGCUAAAUAAACCUUUCCCUCUAAAACAUCCUCAUGCCUCAGCCUCCAAGGUACCACAGAAACCUCCCGUCUGGGUCAAGAAGAUGCACUCGUUCUGCUCUGCAGCUGUCCUUGUCCUUCUGUCCAGCUUGGUGACCAGCACCCCUUCCCCAGCUAACUUUAAAAAUCAAGUCUUGAAGAAGUAAGCUCUCCCUGUGAACCAGCGCCAUGUGUGGGCCACCCCUCCCGAGAGGACAGCCAGACCCCAGCCCCUCCCAGCGUGCAGGCCUGGAAACCAAGAGCCACCCCUCUCCCCUGCAGGCAACUGGCUGAUGCAGAGAAACACAGGCUGUGACCAAGCUAUUGAGGUGAAAUGCAAUUUGAUGCUUGUGGUGUUUGGUGUUUCUCUGACUUUGCAGGUCUAGAGCUGGGGGUCUGAUCAUCUGUUCAGAGGAUCACAGCAUGCAGUGUGGCAUCUAUGGGGCAUCUCCUUCUGAACGUGGGAGCCAUUGUUAAUUCCCUAUUAUCUUAUUUUGAAGUCUUAUAUCAUUUUUAUUAUUUUGCCGGGUUGGGUUCUAUUCUGUUUUGUUUGAUUGUGUUAUAUCCAAUGGCAUGGGCAGCUGUUUCAAAGAUAGCAAGAGAUAUUACAGUAGCCAUUGUGGAUUUACUAUUGUCUUGUUUUGAAAUCCUUUAUUGCAUCCUUUGUUUUGUUUUAUAGGUUCUAUUUGGUUCUGUGUGGUUUGAUUUUUACUAUGUCUGAACCACCUACAGCUAUUUUAAAGACAACCAGAGGCAUUAUGGCAACCAUUGUUGAUUUCGUAUUGUUUUGAAGUCCUGUGUUACUGUUUUGAUUGGUUUUAUUCUGUUUUAUUUUGCUUGGUUUUACUCUUUUUUAAAAAAAUCAAGUCUUAGACAUCAUACAAAUGAACCCAUUAAUACCCAGUGAGGACCCUGAUGUUUUUAAGUUACCACUAAAUCAUAGUUACAUCUAAUAACAUGAAUGUCCUGGAAAACAGGAGAUCAGAUGGAGGAUCCACACGUCCACCCCUGUGCUCCCUGCUCUGUCACUGGCCACACAGGCUGUUUCUGCUGCUCACCAAGCAGACUCACAGUGUCCCCUCCUAGCAGAAGGUGUCUCUCUCCUGUUCCUGCCGCCCCACUAGAGCCCUCCCAUUGUGAGUCCCGGCAGGGCCCUGCACUCUUCAGUGCCAGCCCCAGGCCGAUGGUGGCUGCAGAGGUAAGCAGAACUGUGUCCUGGAGAAGGAUGGAACCAGCGUCUGUGGGUGGAGAGCAGGGGCCUGGGUACAGCCGGGGGAGCCGAGUGUGAGAGGGAAGUCUGGGGAGACGGGUGCUGUCUGUAGGCUAUACACACAUCACAUCCACAGAGCCGUACUAAGGAGGCUCUCCUGACUUCAGAGGAUGAAGUGGCAGGUGUCCUGUGAGGCCACAGACUGAGCACGUGCUCCUCAAGAAGCUCGGCAGAAGCUCGGCAGAAGCACUGCCACAAGUGCCCUUCACAUAAUUCAAACUGUCCCACCCUUUUCGGAUGGGACUACUGAGGCAGCCACUCUGCAGUGUGGGUCUACAAUCCUCCUAAGCUUUUACCACCUGGGCUGGUGAAUUCACUUCAAUCCUGACUGUCCCUUGGCUGUGAGGAGGACCAUGACUGCUUGUUUCUGGGAUUGCCUGGGAUCUGUCAGGGUGUGCAGGGGCCAGGGUAAGGCCAUCAGCAGGGACAGACAGUGAGAUGGCACAGACUGCACAGCUGAGGUGCUGGACUCUGAGGCCGUCAGGGCUGAGCUGUGGCUGCCUUCUGCCCAGUUCACCCCCACCUCUGCUCCCUGCUUGUCCUCUCCUUCCCAGCAGGCUCUGCCUCCUUCAUCUUCCCGGGCUUCACUUGUUUCAGAGCUGUUUCACCCGAUAAGCUCAAAGCACCGCAAGAACCAAAACCCCGUGUCUUUGUAUUGGUCACUGAGUUGUCCCCAGCACCCAGCUCUGUGCCCAGCACACAGGACACAGCAAGAGAUCUUGAGAUGCUGUCCAAGCUGAUCUGCAGUUCCUGGGCUCAGAAUGAUACUCCUGCCUCUAAGCUUUCUAAGUUGCUGAGACUGUAGGAACCAGCCAUUCUGCCUGGAUUCUCCUGACAGAGAAACUAGGAAGUGCAAGGCUCAGCUGGACUCCUCGCAGUGUAUGUGUGUGUGUGUGUGUGUGUGUGUGUGUGUGUGUGUGCAUGUAUUUGUGUACAGCUAUUUCGGUUACAAUAAAAACCACCCAAGUACUGAGAGCUAAUCACAUACCAGGCUCCCCACUUAGAAUUUACACAUUUUGUUUUCUUUAAUCUCCAUUUCCUAAGACUCAGUGAGUGAGAGUACACUAUUGUGUUCAUUUUACAGGGGCAGAAGCGGAGGUAAGGAGAUGUCACAUAGCCCGCAUACUUGUUUCCUGCGAGAGGCACAACAAAGGACUGUAAACUGAGUGGUUGAAGCACUAGGAAUUUAUUCUUUCACAGCUUCUAAGGUCAGAAGUCAGAGAUCAAAGGCCAGACCUCUUCUACAGGAGCCAGAGAAGAAUGUGUUCCGGGGUUCUCUUUUUAACUUCUGGAAGUUUCUUGCCUCAUAACAACAUAACUCCAGUCUUUGCAUGAUGUUAAAACAACCCUGUCUAACAUUUCUUCCUUUUAGGUCGGACACCAGUCAUGUUGGUUUAGAACCCACUCUAAUGACUUCACUUUAAUUUAUUCUCGAAAAGUCUGUUCCAACUAAGGUCACAUCCUGAAGUACUGGAGCUCGAGGUCUGCUGUGUCCUUGGGUUAGGGUUAGGGUUAGAAGAUCAGGGUUAGGGUUAGGGUCAGUGUUAGAGUGAGGUUAGGAAUAGGAUUAGGGUUAGGGUUACCAUAGCAGCUGAGGAGUUGUAAAUCCAGGUCUAUCUUUCCUUGAGUUGGAGGAGGACUGUAGAAGCAGAUAACUCAUUUUGCCCAAUUAGGCUACAAGAGUUGAAACCCUGGUCCUCACUUGGGAGCUCUUACGAAGCAGAAGACCAGGCGCUUAUUAGUUCAUGUUGAGGUGGAGGAGUAGAAAGAGAAAGAGAAUAGGAGGCUGCCAGUUAAUACUAAGUUACCAAGCCGCUGUCACUGGGAUUGGAGCUUAAGUCUGUCAAGGACCCUGGGAAAUGAGGUUCUGACCCAGUUACCGCCUCUAAAAUAGGGUAAUGAUAUCCUCCCCUAGAAACUCACAACAGCUUUUCAACCAUUCAGUAUUUUGAGUUCUGCGUUGAUUAUGGUGCUGGGACAUUUUUGAACAGUAAAGACCAAAGCAGCUUA